rnacentral:rRNA from 2 species
AAUCCAUAGGUUAAUGAGGCGAACCGGGGGAACUGAAACAUCUAAGUACCCCGAGGAAAAGAAAUCAACCGAGAUUCCCCCAGUAGCGGCGAGCGAACGGGGAGGAGCCCAGAGCCUGAAUCAGCAUGUGUGUUAGUGGAAGCGUCUGGAAAGGCGCGCGAUACAGGGUGACAGCCCCGUACACAAAAGCGCAUGUGCUGUGAGCUCGAUGAGUAGGGCGGGACACGUGGUAUCCUGUCUGAAUAUGGGGGGACCAUCCUCCAAGGCUAAAUACUCCUGACUGACCGAUAGUGAACCAGUACCGUGAGGGAAAGGCGAAAAGAACCCCGGCGAGGGGAGUGAAAAAGAACCUGAAACCGUGUACGUACAAGCAGUGGGAGCACAGGUUUA